AGAGUUUGAUCCUGGCUCAGAAUGAACGCUGGCGGCGUGCUUAACACAUGCAAGUCGCACGAGAACGCUUCAGCUUGCUGAAGUUAGUAAAGUGGCGCACGGGUGAGUAACGCGUGGGUAAUCUCCCCCCGAAUUGGGGAUAACAUCGCGAAAGCGAUGCUAAUACCGGAUAAUAUCUUAAAAACCUCGGUUUUAAAGAUCAAAGGUGGCCUCUACAUGUAAGCUUCUGUUUGGGGAUGAGCCCGCGUACCAUUAGCUUGUUGGUAGGGUAAUGGCCUACCAAGGCUGCGAUGGUUAGCUGGUCUGAGAGGAUGAUCAGCCACACUGGAACUGACACACGGUCCAGACUCCUACGGGAGGCAGCAGUGAGGAAUUUUGCGCAAUGGGGGAAACCCUGACGCAGCAACGCCGCGUGAGUGAUGAAGGCUUUCGGGUCGUAAAGCUCUGUCAAGUGGGAAGAACCCACAUGGUGAUAAUACCGCCAUGUGUUGACGUACCA
rnacentral:rRNA from 1 species